rnacentral:rRNA from 1 species
AACGAACGCUGGCGGCAGGCUUAACACAUGCAAGUCGAGCGCAUCCUUCGGGGUGAGCGGCAGACGGGUGAGUAACGCGUGGGAAUCUACCUUUUGCUACGGAAUAGCUCCGGGAAACUGGAAUUAAUACCGUAUGUGCCCUUAGGGGGAAAGAUUUAUCGGCUAGAGAUGAACCCGCGUUGGAUUAGCUAGUUGGUGGGGUAAAGGCCUACCAAGGCGACGAUCCAUAGCUGGUCUGAGAGAAUGAUCAGCCACAUUGGGACUGAGACACGGCCCAAACUCCUACGGGAGGCAGCAGUGGGGAAUAUUGGACAAUGGGCGCAAGCCUGAUCCAGCCAUGCCGCGUGAGAAAUGAAGGCCUUAGAGUUGUAAAGCUCUAUCACCGAAGAAGAUAAUGACGGUAUCCGGAGAAGAAGCCCCGGCUAACUUCGUG